rnacentral:rRNA from 1 species
CCCGGCGAAAGUCGGACUAAUACCGUAUGUUGUCCAUUGACGGCAUCCGAUUUGGACGAAAAGGCUUGGCGGUGAGGGAUGGGGAUGCGUCCGAUUAGCCAGACGGCGGGGUAACGGCCCACCGUGGCGACGAUCGGUAGGGGUUCUGAGAGGAAGGUCCCCCACACUGGAACUGAGACACGGUCCAGACUCCUACGGGAGGCAGCAGUGAGGAAUAUUGGUCAAUGGGCGUAAGCCUGAACCAGCCAAGUAGCGUGCAGGACGACGGCCCUAUGGGUUGUAAACUGCUUUUAUGCGGGGAUAAAGUGGCCCACGUGUGGGUUUUUGCAGGUACCGCAUGAAUAAGGACCGGCUAAUUCCGUGCCAGCAGCCGCGGUAAUACGGAAGGUCCGGGCGUUAUCCGGAUUUAUUGGGUUUAAAGGGAGCGUAGGCCGCGCCUUAAGCGUGUUGUGAAAUCCGGGUGCUCAACAUCCGGCUUGCAGCGCGAACUGGGGCGCUUGAGUGCGCAGAAAGUAGGCGGAAUUCGUGGUGUAGCGGUGAAAUGCUUAGAUAUCACGAGGAACUCCGAUUGCGAAGGCAGCCUACUGUAGCGCUACUGACGCUGAUGCUCGAAAGCGUGGGUAUCGAACAGGAUUAGAUACCCUGGUAGUCCACGCGGUAAACGAUGGAUGCUCGUUGUCGGCCCUUUGGGUCGGUGACCAAGCGAAAGCGUUAAGCAUCCCACCUGGGGAGUACGCUGGCAACGGUGAAACUCAAAGGAAUUGACGGA